UCGAUUGGAUUGGGGAUGCUUUUGCCACCUGGACAAAAAGAGAGAUAUUUUUUAUUUUUUAUUAUUUAUUAUACGUGAUGAGAAUAACGGAGAUGA
rnacentral:ribozyme from 1 species